AACGAAGAUAUUUUGAGGCUAUUGCUAAAACGACCAGACUUUUUCAAGCAUUGACAACCAGAGUCUACCUAAUUGAAGGUGCAAAGGUGGAUGCUAAUUCCUUGGCUCAAACAAUGAGAAUCUCUCUAGGUGUCAUGGAGGGAAUUCAAGACACAAUUGCUAGGUUUUUCAAGCAGGCAGAGAAGAUGAGUUGCAUGAUGCUUGAGCUUGUGCAAACAAUAAGGCAAGAAGAAGCAG